rnacentral:rRNA from 1 species
AGAGUUUGAUCCUGGCUCAGAUUGAACGCUGGCGGUAUGCUUAACACAUGCAAGUCGAACGGAAACGAAACUAGCUUGCUAGUAGGCGUCGAGUGGCGGACGGGUGAGUAACGCGUAGGAAUCUGCCUGAUAGUGGGGGAUAGCCCGAAGAAAUUCGGAUUAAUACCGCAUAAUCUAUUCGUAGUAAAGUGGGGGACUUUCGAGCCUCACGCUAUCAGAUGAGCCUGCGUAAGAUUAGCUUGUUGGUAGGGUAAAAGCCUACCAAGGCAACGAUCUUUAGCUGGUCUGAGAGGAUGAUCAGCCACAUCGGGACUGAGACACGGCCCGAACUCCUACGGGAGGCAGCAGUGGGGAAUAUUGGACAAUGGGGGCAACCCUGAUCCAGCAAUACCGCGUGUGUGAAGAAGGCCCGAGGGUUGUAAAGCACUUUCAAUUGUGAAGAAAAGUUAGCGGUUAAUAACCGUUGACCUUGACGUUAACUAUAGAAGAAGCACCGGCUAACUCCGUGCCAGCAGCCGCGGUAAUACGGAGGGUGCAAGCGUUAAUCGGAAUUACUGGGCGUAAAGCGUGCGUAGGCGGUUUAUUAAGUCAGAUGUGAAAGCCCCGGGCUUAACCUGGGAACUGCAUUUGAAACUGGUCAACUAGAGUAUGGUAGAGGAAAGUGGAAUUUCUGGUGUAGCGGUGAAAUGCGUAGAUAUCAGAAGGAACAUCAAUGGCGAAGGCAGCUUUCUGGACCAAUACUGACGCUGAGGUACGAAAGCGUGGGUAGCAAACAGGAUUAGAUACCCUGGUAGUCCACGCCGUAAACGAUGAUAACUAGCCGUUGGGGGGAUUUACCCUUUAGUGGCGAAGCUAACGCGUUAAGUUAUCCGCCUGGGGAGUACGGCCGCAAGGUUAAAACUCAAAGGAAUUGACGGGGACCCGCACAAGCGGUGGAGCAUGUGGUUUAAUUCGAUGCAACGCGAAGAACCUUACCUGGUCUUGACAUCCUGCGAACUUUCUAGAAAUAGAUUGGUGCCUUCGGGAACGCAGUGACAGGUGCUGCAUGGCUGUCGUCAGCUCGUGUCGUGAGAUGUUGGGUUAAGUCCCGUAACGAGCGCAACCCCUAUCCUUAUUUGCCAGCACGUCAUGGUGGGAACUAUAAGGAGACUGCCGGUGAUAAACCGGAGGAAGGCGGGGACGACGUCAAGUCAUCAUGGCCCUUACGACCAGGGCUACACACGUGCUACAAUGGGAAGGACAAAGAGCCGCGAAGCCGCGAGGUGUAGCUAAUCUCAGAAACCUUUUCGUAGUCCGGAUUGGAGUCUGCAACUCGACUCCAUGAAGUCGGAAUCGCUAGUAAUCGUAGAUCAGAAUGCUACGGUGAAUACGUUCCCGGGUCUUGUACACACCGCCCGUCAUACCAUGGGAGUGGGUUGCACCAGAAGUGGCUAGUCUAACUUAGUGAGGACGGUCACCACGGUGUGAUUCAUGACUGGGGUAAAGUCGUAACAAGGUAACC